rnacentral:misc_RNA from 1 species
CUCACAGGUGGAAGCACACCAAAUGCAUCGCAUGCCAAAAGGAUUACAUUCUUGGGGUGUGGACCAACACAGGGUAUCUUUGCAUUAGGAAUAUACUCAAUAGGGUAAGAUGCUCGAGUAUUCUCUGUGACCGAUCUGUCAGCAUAGUCCACCUCUCGAGUAUGUUCAUCAAAUACCACAUUUUCCAAAACGGUUCCAAACUUGAUGGCAUUCCAGAUAUCAGGCUCCUUCUCCUUUGAGAGAUCAAUGCAUUUGGCAUAGCACCCCCCUUCAAUAUUUGACACUCCAGUCUCAGUCCAGCAAUGUUCAUCAUCUCCAAUUAGGUACCUAUUUGGAUCUGUAGACAAAGUUGUCUUUCCAGUACCUGACAAUCCAAAGAAGAGGGCAACAUCUCCAUCUUUUCCCAUAUUGCAGCCAGAAUGUAAGGAGAGGAUUUGGCGCUUAGGCAUGAGAUAAUGCAUAACACUGAAUAGACCCUUCUUCAUUUCCCCGGCGUACUGUGUGCCGAGGAUGACCAUUUCCCUUCUAGCUAAAUUCAAAUCUAUGCUAGUAGAAGAUGUCAUGUAGUGUGUGUAACGAUUACAUGGGAACUGACCAGCAUUGUAUAUAGUGAAGUCCGGAGUACCAAAAUUCUCCAGCUCUUCAGGAGUGGGUCGGAUACACAUGUUGUGCAUGAACAAUGAAUGGUAAGCUCUGGCAGAGACAAUCCGAACUUUGAUUCUGUUCUCAGGGUCCCAGUUCAAGAAUUGAUCAUUUACAAAGACCUUAUCCAAAGAAUUCAAGUAAUCAACAGCUCGUUCCCUGUUAACCAUGAAAGUGUGCUCGUCCAUUUCAAUAUUAGGUGAGCCCUUUCCCCACCAAAGCUCCUCGCUUGUGUCAUCAUCCUUGACAACACGCUUAUCUCUGGGAGCCCGGCCAGUCUUAGCACCAGAGAGGGUGGCCAAUGCACCAGUAGACGUAAUAAAAGACCCUUUCUCGUACUUUAUGGCCUGCUCAUAAAGCUCAGCAGGUGAGAGAUUGUAAAGAACAUGAGUGAAUUUUAAGGAGCUAUCACUGACGCUGAUGGGUGCAGUGACGUGGUGAUCUUUUGAAAUGGGCUGGAUCUUGUUAGCCGGGUCUCCUCUCACC